GGGUGUGGUGAAAUAGCUUAUCUUGAUCACACAGAAAUCAAGCAGACGGUCAGGCGGUUACAUCUCUACUGACUGGACUGAAAGCACUCAUCAACUGCAAGCAGCUUCCUGGUUCAGGGUGGGACUCUGUGUCCACUUCUCUCUUCAGUGAUGCGGUUUUGCCUGGUUUGAACCUGUGCAGUUCUUGCGCUUGUGCAGUCUCUGUGGGUUCAUGUGUGGCUCAGGCCUGCUGUGUCUGGAAGCCACUGAGGACAACACGGAGCCACUCUUGGCCACUGGAGUGCUGCACCUGCUGCAAACGUUCUCUUGCCUGGACAUAUCUUCAUGACUGACCUUCCCACAGACUGCACCUCUCCAUGGAUUCACUCUGAGCUGCUUAGAGCGUGUUCCUGAAUGUUUCUGUGCAUUGCCAUGACAGCAGUUAUGAGUUUUAAAAAGUAUUGGGGCUGGACAGAUGGCUGAGUGACUGUGAGUUCUUGUUGCUUCUGCUGAAAGUCUGGGCUCAAGUCAGCACUCACAUGGUGAUUUAUAAGCCACCUGUAGCUUCAGUGCCAAGCUCAUGCCCUCUUCUGUCUUCUGCAGGCUUCUGCAUACAUGUGGUGCACACACAUACACCCAGGCACACACAUACAAAAUAAAGUCAAUGAAUUUAAACAAUCCUCAAAAAAAAAAAAAAAAAAAACACACACACAACAAAACAAAAGGAUGUGUAAGAUGGAUCUAACAAAAUUGACAAAGGAAAAUAUUAUGGAAAAUCAAAAGGAGAAAAGUUAUUUGAUGCCUAUUUAAAUACAGAUAUUUGUCUUUCUGAGCAGAGACCAUGAAGAAAAUGCCAUAUACAGACUUUCAACUUCAGUGCCUCAUAUCUUUUCAAAGCAAGAUCACACACACAUAGGCUAAGAGCCAUAUUCUCUGAGCCUGCUAACUGUUAAUAUUAAAAGUUGUAAAUGAAAAGAUGAUGUAAUUCUAUUAUUAUAAUCUAAAAAACAAAAAUAAAUUGAAAAAAUCUCAAAGGAGUGGAUAUAAGAAUUACUUUUUACCAUGAGGUUAAGGAGUCCUUGGUUCUUAUAGCCCCAAAAUUGGAUACCAAAAACUUAAGAUAUAUUUGGGUCAUUCACAUAGCCUCACCACAACAAGUAAAGACAAAUGACAACAUGGGACAUUUACCUUUACAAUACAGAAUCUAGGCUUACUCCACCUAAGAUAUAAAUAGUGUCUGAGAAGAAGAAGAAGAAGAAGAAGAAGAAGAAGAAGAAGAAGAAGAAGAAGAAGAAGAAGAAGAAGAAGAAGAAGAAGCCUAGUGACAGAAUAAGCCAAGAGUGAAUAUGCUGAAAAGAGAGACAUAAAUAUUAAAUAAAUGAUUGUAUUUUAACAUCAUUAAAUGAAAUACAAAUUAAAUGGCCUCAAGUCCCCAUCUAUCAAGCUGGCAGAAAUGCAAGGGGGGGGCUAUGAGGGAAAGCCAGAGCCUUUGUGUAGUGUGUCAUGUAGCAGUGUGCAAGGCAGGCAAAGGGACAGCAGCUAUCAAAGCCUCAGCUCAGAGAUUGCACUGUGGAGAGUCCCUGUGGUGACACUGCACAAGCAGGAAGCAAUGAUGGGUGACUUCAUUCAUGAAACAUCUCUGUAAUAGCAAAGGAAGCACGAGCCUGAACACACAUUGGAAGAAGAGUAGACACAGCCACACAGGAGUCACUGAGGGUGGAGACUCUGAGGACACACACCAGGGAACCCAGCACCUGGAGAUGGAGGCAUGAGGAGGCAGCGGUAUAGUCAGGCCAGCCUGGGCAGCAUGAGACAGGCAGGCAGGCAGGCAGGACCUGAGCCAUCUUGACAGAUGAGGGAUUUCUUCAGUGACAUGAGCAGACCCAUAAGAAAUCAUACAGAAAAACCGGAAAUAGUGAA